UAGUCCACGCCGUAAACGAUGUCUACUAGCCGUUGGGAGACUUGAUUUCUUAGUGGCGCAGCUAACGCACUAAGUAGACCGCCUGGGGAGUACGGCCGCAAGGUUAAAACUCAAAUGAAUUGACGGGGGCCCGCACAAGCGGUGGAGCAUGUGGUUUAAUUCGAUGCAACGCGAAGAACCUUACCAGGUCUUGACAUCCAGAGAACUUUCCAGAGAUGGAUUGGUGCCUUCGGGAGCUCUGUGACAGGUGCUGCAUGGCUGUCGUCAGCUCGUGUCGUGAGAUGUUGGGUUAAGUCCCGUAACGAGCACAACCCUUGUCCUUAGUUGCUAGCAGGUAAUGCUGAGAACUCUAAGGNGACUGCCGGUGACAACUGGAGGAAGGUGGGGGACGACGUCAAGUCAUCAUGGCCCUUACGACCUGGGGCUACACACGUGCUACAAUGGAACGCACACACCGCCCGUCU
rnacentral:rRNA from 1 species